AGAGUUUGAUCAUGGCUCAGAUUGAACGCUGGCGGCAUGGUUAAAGCAUGCAAGUCGCAGGAGAAGCCUUCGGGUGGACACUGGCGAAAGGGCGAGGAAUGGUAUCGAACGUACCCCGAAGUGGAGAAUAGCCUGAAGAAAUUCAGAGUAAUACUCCAUGAUCUCUACGGAGCAAAGCUACGGCGCUUCGGGAGCGGCGAUACUCCUAUCAGGUAGUUGGUGAGGUAAUGGCUCACCAAGCCUUAGACGGGUAGCGGGUGUGAGAGCACGAUCCGCCGCAUCGGAACUGAGACACUGUCCGGACUCCUACGGGAGGCUGCAGCAACGAAUAUUCCGCAAUGCACGCAAGUGUGACGGAGCAAUGCCGCGUGUGGGAUGAAGCAUCUACGAUGUGUAAACCACUGUCAGGGUGUAGGAAGAACUGACCGCACCCAAAGGAAGGACCGGCUAAUCACGUGCCAGCAGCCGCGGUAAUACGUGAGGUCCAAGCGUUAAUCGGAAUCACUGGGCUUAAAGAGUGCGCAGGCGGACUGAUAAGCAUUUUGUGAAAUCCCACAGCUCAACUGUGGAAUUGCAGAGUGAACUAUCAGUCUUGAGGUAGGUAGAGGCUGACGGAACCAUAGGUGGAGCGGUGGAAUGCAUAGAGAUCUAUGGGAACGCCAAAGGCGAAGGCAGUCAGCUGGGCCUAUUCUGACGCUCAUGCACGAAAGCGUGGGGAGCAAACAGGAUUAGAUACCCUGGUAGUCCACGCCCUAAACGAUGUGCACUAGAUCGAUGCAGCUCUGACGCUGUGUUGGUCGAAGAGAAAUUAUUAAGUGCACCGCCUGGGGAGUACGGUCGCAAGGCUAAAACUCAAAGGAAUUGACGGGGGCUCACACAAGCGGUGGAGCAUGUUGCUUAAUUCGAAGCAACGCGAAGAACCUUAUCCUGGUCUUGACAUGUACGAAUUAGCUUUUGGAAACUUAAGUGACGCUCUUUGAGUGGAACGUACACAGGUGCUGCAUGGCUGUCGUCAGCUCGUGCUGUGAAGUGUUAGGUUAAGUCCUUUAACGAGCGCAACCCCUAUCGCUAGUUGCCAGCAAGUAAUGUUGGGGACUCUAGCGAGACUGCCGGUGUUAAAUCGGAGGAAGGUGGGGAUGACGUCAAGUCCUCAUGGCCCUUAUGACCAGGGCUGCAAACGUGCUACAAUGGCGUGUACAGAGCGAUGCGAGACCGCGAGGUGGAGCAAAUCGCAAAAAGCACGCCCCAGUUCGGAUAGCAGGCUGCAACUCGCCUGCUUGAAGUUGGAAUCGCUAGUAAUCGGAGAUCAGCUACGCUCCGGUGAAUACGUUCCUGAGCCUUGUACACACCGCCCGUCAAGUCAUGGAAGCUGGGAGUGCCCGAAGUCACGGUGUUUCAAUCGUGCCCACGGCAAGUUCGGUGACUGGGACUAAGUCGUAACAAGGUA
rnacentral:rRNA from 1 species